CCAAUAGCGUAUAUUAAAGUUGUUGCAGUUAAAAAGCUCGUAGUUGAAUUUCGGGAUCAUCAGGUUGGUCGUGCCUCUGGUAUGUACUUGCUUCGAUGGUCUCUCCUUCUUGAAGAACCGUAAUGGCAUUAAUUUGUUGUUGCGGGGAAACAGGACUGUUACUUUGAAAAAAUUAGAGUGUUUAAAGCAGGCAAUCGCUUGAAUACAUUAGCAUGGAAUAAUGAAAUAGGACGUUCGAUCCUAUUUUGUUGGUUUCUAGGAUUGACGUAAUGAUUAAUAGGGAUAGUUGGGGGCAUUAGUAUUCAAUUGUCAGAGGUGAAAUUCUUGGAUUUAUUGAAGACUAACUACUGCGAAAGCAUUUGCCAAGGAUGUUUUCAUUAAUCAAGAACGAAAGUUAGGGGAUCGAAGACGAUCAGAUACCGUCGUAGUCUUAACCAUAAACUAUGCCGACUAGGGAUCGGAUGAUGUUAAUUUUUUAAUGACUCAUUCGGCGCCUUACG
rnacentral:rRNA from 1 species